rnacentral:lncRNA from 1 species
UCUGCUGGGAUGAGUGUUAUACCUGCCAUUGCACAAAAUAACAUUCAGCAGGUAUUUUGUUCACGACUUUUGCUAUAUUGUUCAAGGGUUAUGAAUGUAUAUUAGGUCGGUGUGUUAUUCAUCAGAGAAUGGGUUUGUUCGUGUUUGUGCGGAUUUGUACAUGCGUCUGUAUAAGUGUGUAUUUUUUAAUAUGUUGGUUUCUAAAUGAAAAAUGUUCAUGUUUAUUCAUAAGUGAAAAAGGGCAUUUUUACAAGUGUUUAUAAGAAAAGGGCAUUUUUGCCUAUUAACACUACGGGAUAUAUAGCUUGAAAUCUAUAUAUCACUAUGAAUAUUAUAGCAUUCUACGAAAAUAGAUUUGUUUUGUGACUUAGCAUCUGAUUCUAUGCAUCAAUGAAAAAAACUUAAAUAAAAUAUGAAAAAUAAUUAGAAUAUUAAUCUUGAACAGACAUUGUUCAACUCAACUCAAAAAGUGGAACAACGUUCACCGAAUAAUAGUCGAUAACAAAAAUAUGAUGAUUGUUGAAUAUUGGAUAUGGACUUCAAGAAACUAUUAACUCGAACAAACUUGAUUGAAUAAUUAACCAAAGCAAAGAAGACAUAAAAAAACAAAGAUUCAAACGUGAGAAAGUGGGGAGAGCAUGAUAUGGUAAAAAUCCAAGAUACCAUAAAUAUGAAAUAUGUAUUGCAUGAAAUUAGAAACACAUCGGUUACAAUAAAUUAUUAAAUGACUGAAAAAAGCCUUCAAUCACAAAACUAGCGCACGAUUAGAGGGUUAAUUAAUUAAAGGGUUAAUUGUCUAUAAUACAAUAUGAACAAUACCCAAUUUUGAUUUUUAACUCAAUCUUUUUAUAUAUUAAAAAAAAAACUUUUAUGAUUUUGAAAUUUGACUUAACCCAAAGUUUCCUAACUAAUAACUUGAUUGUCAACAGUUCGAUGGAAAAUCUGAAGAUAUCGUCAGAAAGCUCAUAAUGUUAUCUUUCUAACGAUAUUUAUAUUGUUGGGUUUUGAUCACUGAAAGUGAUUGAAAAAUUGCAUGAAAGUUGAUGUCGUUAAACUCUACAUUUUAUCUUUUUCUCGACCACUUAAUUUUCGUGACCAAAACCCAACAAUAUUGGUAUCAUUACAGAGAUAUCAUCAAGAGGUUUCCAACGGGUACAUUUGAAUUAUUCAUUGAUCUCCAAUCAAUUAAGUUAUUGACUAAUAAACUUUUAGAUUCAAGUCAAAUUUUAAAAAUUAAAAUUUAUGUAUUUUUUAUAAGAAAAAAAUCUAAUUAAAAACUAAAAUAUGGAUAUAGUACAUAUAUUUAUAGGUAAUUAACCCUUAAUUUAACGAUAUACAUGAAUACGUGUAUAGAAAGAUACUAAUGGUCUCUUCUCUAGAAUAGGAACAUGUUAAUUAAGAAUCAAUUUAAUUCAUAGAUCUUGAUUAAAGUUGCGUUUAUUUUGAUGGAUAAAUUUAUCAUGAGAAAAAUGAGGGAUAACAAAAAAUUAUACCUUUAAAUAUCUCUUUUCUUUUCCAACAUUUUACACAAAAGAGAAGCUCAUGAAANUUUUACGAAUUUAAAUGUAUUGUUCAUAGAAAUGAACGCAUGUUAAGUGGAUGUUAUGCAUGUGUUUGAGACGUUAUUCAUGUGUUUUGUGCACGUCCUCUGCUAUCUUAUGCAUAAGUUAUGAAAACAUGUGUGGAUGGUGUCUUAUUCAACUGAGUAAUGCGAUUGUUCAUGUAUGUGCUGAUUUAUUCAUGCGUCUAUAUAAGUGUGUAUUUUUAAAUAUGUUGAUUUAUAAUUGCAAAAACGUCCACAUUUAUUCAUGAAGAAAGAUAAUAUGAUUACAUGGUCAUACAUUAAAGAAAGUUUAUAUUGUUUGUGAUAGGUUAGAGGAAAAAAUAUAUUGUUAGCUAUAGUAUGGAUUGAGUUGUUAAUUUAUUUUUUCCUUUUAGGUGCCCCUGUCUGCGCCACCUUCUGCUGGGACAAGUGCUAUACGUUCUAUUGCACAGAACAAUAUUUCACAAGUACUUAAUAAUUAUCUGAGGACAUUAUGGAAUGGAUGAGAUGAUGGAGUUAUUCUACAAAUUAUGCAUAUAUUCACGUGUUAUCCAGUUUGUUCACCAUUUUAAAUGACAUGUUCAUAGAGAUGAAUGCAUGUUAAGUAGAUAUUAUUCAUGUGUGUGAGACGUUAUUCAUGUUCUUUAUUCAUGAAUUUUGCUAUCUUGUUCAUAAGUCAUGAAUCUAUGUAUGGAUGAUCUAUUAUUCAUUUGAGUAAUGCUUUUGUUCAUGUGUGGGUUGAUUUAUUCAUGCGUCUGUAUUAAGUGUGUAUUUUUCAAUAUGUUUAUUUAUAAUUGCAAAACGUCCAUGAAAAAAUUUUAUAUUGUUUUUGUGAUUUUUUUAGGUGCGCCCGUCUGCAACACAUUCUGCUGGACGAGUGUUAUACUGCCAUUGCACAAAAUAACAUUCAACGGGUGCUUUGUUCAUGACUUUUGCUAUAUUGUUCGAGGGUUAUAAAUGUAUAUCGGGUAGGUGUGUUAUUCAUCAGAGUAAUGCAUUUGUUCGUGUAUGUGCGGAUUUGCACAUGCGUCUGUAUAAGUAUGUAUUUUUUAAUAUGUUGGUUUUUAAAUGAAAAACUUUCAUGUUUAUUCAUUUAGGUGGGGCCGACUGUGCCACUCUCUGCCGAGACGAGUUACACAUCUACCAUUGUUGAAAAAAACUAGACACAUGUGCAUUGUAAACCAAUUGUACUUUCUUGUACGUAGGUUUGUUAAGGUAUUCACGUGACUUCAAAUCUAUGUAAAAGGCGACAGCCAUAUCCUAUGUAUUAUGGUACCAUCGGGAUCUUGUUUCACUGUACUCAAACGUGUCUCAAACCCGCAUGCAUCCGUCUAUU